rnacentral:rRNA from 1 species
ACGGGUGAGUAAUGUCUGGGGAUCUGCCCGAUAGAGGGGGAUAACCACUGGAAACGGUGGCUAAUACCGCAUAACGUCGCAAGACCAAAGAGGGGGACCUUCGGGCCUCUCACUAUCGGAUGAACCCAGAUGGGAUUAGCUAGUAGGCGGGGUAACGGCCCACCUAGGCGACGAUCCCUAGCUGGUCUGAGAGGAUGACCAGCCACACUGGAACUGAGACACGGUCCAGACUCCUACGGGAGGCAGCAGUGGGGAAUAUUGCACAAUGGGCGCAAGCCUGAUGCAGCCAUGCCGCGUGUAUGAAGAAGGCCUUCGGGUUGUAAAGUACUUUCAGCGGGGAGGAAGGCAGUGAGGUUAAUAACCUUACUGAUUGACGUUACCCGCAGAAGAAGCACCGGCUAACUCCGUGCCAGCAGCCGCGGUAAUACGGAGGGUGCAAGCGUUAAUCGGAAUUACUGGGCGUAAAGCGCACGCAGGCGGUCUGUUAAGUCAGAUGUGAAAUCCCCGGGCUUAACCUGGGAACUGCAUUUGAAACUGGCAGGCUUGAGUCUCGUAGAGGGGGGUAGAAUUCCAGGUGUAGC